AGAAAUCCUUAUUCCUAUAGACCAGGAAAACGAGGCACAAAAGGCGAUAUUAGCCCACCAGGAGAAAAAGGAUCGUCCGGAGAAGUUGAUUACGGAAGAAUGAACCGAGCUACUCAAGAAAAUGUAGCAACCGAAUGCAAUAGAGUGAACACGGGAUUGAUUGAAAGAAUUAAUAAAAUGGAAGAAAUGAUUCGACAAAUGAAUAGCUCCAUCCCCGAUACUCUAUUUUUGCUGAAGUUGCAAUGUGAACUAUUGAGAAAGAGUCAAAGUUACUUUUGAUGAAAUAAACACGGUUUUUAUUCAAACAGACUCUGUGAAGUACAGUCUCGCGGUCAUUGUUUCUGGUCAGUAUUGCAUUCAUCUAGGGAUGUCAAUGUGAAUGAAGCAAGAAGAAUUUGAGAAAACAAUGGGUUUCCGGCGAAUAUUUAUAACAAGCAACAUAUAAACGAUUUGAUGAUUAAUAUCCGCCAAAUGAUGCUUGGCAGUUAUUCGUUGGUAUGGACUGGCAUGACUGUCGAUACAUCGACAAAUGCAGUUCUCAUACGAGAUCGAGAGGCGGCAUCCCAUGUCAAAUGGAGGAAUAGUCAGUUUCCUCAAAAAAAAAUCAGGUUUGUAUAUUCUCGUUCGUCCUGUAUCAUCAUCAAGCGAUCAAGGGAUGGGGAAUGAUCCACCUACACGAAAUUAACACGGCGUGAUAUGCGAAAAAUGAUAUGCAAUGCAUUUAAGAUUUUCCCUGUUAAGGACUUAUCAAGCGGCCACUUGUUUUUAAGAUGCUAUUAAAAGUAUAAUUCUGAAUUUAUAAUU